CAUCCCGUGCUGUGCUGCACAGAGCCGGUUUACAAACAGCCAGAUCACAGCCCCUGUGCUUCAGAUCAGUGACAACCCGUCCAUAGGCCAGAAGCGUCAUGUUGCAUGUUCUCAUGGGGUGAGAAAUGGGAAGGAAAAGAGAGUAACCUCCGAGGGAUCUUUUGUCAGGGCUAUAAAUACAGCGCUUUCCCAUUCGCUACUUCAGUGCUUCUCCGCCACGGUGCGUCCAAAGCCCGACAGUCACGGCUGAAAAGUUGGUAUUUUUCGCUGCAAUUUUGGAAACCUCAAGUAAAAGUUUUAUGGGCACAAAAUUCUUAUUUUAAUCCCAACCAGUUUGCCAGGCACUGGUGAAAAUGCCUAGAAAGGAUCGGCAGACGACCAGCCGACACCCCGGCCAACUGCGACCCGCCUGUCAGCUCGAGUCAGAGGACCUGGAAGCUGGAGGAGACCCUCCCUGACUUCCCCAAGGGACCAGCUAGAGACUCAGUGGCAGGCAGCAUCGCAUCCCACGUCAGUUACACCCAAAUCGACCAAGACCUCAACUCCAGUAUUUUGGUAUUUUGAGACAGAGCGCUAAAAGGGUGAGGAGUCAGUGGCUGAUGGUUUAUACAUUUGAACCCAAGGAGGAGUGUAACUGAGGCCUGUCGCACCACCACUGCUUAUGGCGCAGGCUGCUGUUCCUGCCAACUCUCGUGUGGGCGAAAGUGCCACUCUCACAGCUCAGCGGCCCUCCUAGAUGACUCACUGCUCAAAACAGUUCUCAUCGUGCUUCUGAGCACAGGAGCCAUUUUGGACAAGUUUUGUUUUCUCUGUCAGUCUGACUCCAAAGAACGGUUUGGAUUUUUUAUCGGCUACAUAUUUGAGAGUUUCUCUGUUCAAGAACUCCUCCUCGAUGUAUCCUGGGACUGACAUGACUGUCCCACUGGAUAUGGUAAGCACAGACUGCACUAGCUCUGUUCUGAGGAACUCCAGCAAAAUAAUCAUCAUGACUGAUUUGGUCUUGAAGUGGUGAGAUUUUUGUUUCUACGCCGUUUCUGAUAAAAGGUAACUUUAUCCAAGUCAUGUAACUAUUUGAUAAAUUUGUUUCUAGCAAAAACUUUGCAGAAUUGCUUCUUUUUCAGAGCCAAUGAACUUUUGUGAUAUAUGAAGAUGGGACUGUUUUUAGUAUGUGACCCUACUUAGCAAAAACGAUUUCAUAACUUGUCUACUUUUGCCAGGCCUCAAAUAAAUGAAGUGGAAUACAAAACAAACCAUCUGUUUCUUUGCCUAACUGCUUAAUAUGGGAGUCAGGUUCUAACCAAAUAUAUUUAGGAAGUCUUUUCAGGAAUUUGUUAGGCUGAAUGCAACUAAUCAAGGCAGCAAAACCCUUAUGUAUUUUCAAGGUGACCUCUUUGUUUGACCUGAAAAGUUGGUAUAUUAUUUUAAGUACUUUCACUACAUAGCUUUGGCAUUUGUAGAUUUAACCUUCCUUUUCUAACAUCAGUGUUUCAAGAAAGUGUAGGUAUGCUUGUGAGGAAUGCCAUGGAAAGUAAUUCACAUAAAGCUAUGACUAACUGCUACAUAGCAGUCACAGUUACGGUGUGUACUAUCCACGAGUCAAAACAGAACACUGCUGACCCCUCUGCAUUCAUUUGCCAUUUUUACCCACUUUACAGACUGGAUUUUUAAAAUCAAACAUCUACUCAUACCUCGAUGAACAUAAGAAACAGCUCUGCAAAUACAGACAGACACGUUCUGAGCUCUGCUAACAGCUCUAGGCUUCAAAGGCUCAAAGAAUUGAAGAUGAAAAGAAGAAACGUUCUUCUCGCAGCUUGAGGAGCUCUAGCAAUAUGUCUAAGGAAGACAUGGACGUUUAUGGGGGGGAACCCAACUUUCUGAUUGCCAGCCACAGCUAAAUGUUUGCAAUCACCACGUUACCUAGAGAGUUCAGCUGUGUGCUGAGAGAAGCGCCCCCCUUGGUUCCUAUGCCGCCAGUGUGUCAGCUACACAGCUGCAUCACCUUCACCACAGCGGCCUGCAACUUCCCUACUGACAGUGCCUGAGCGAAGGCAUCUUUCACACUGUGGCUUUUGGCACACACGUACAAUGUCUUCAUUCCUCAAAGUAAGGCAAAUGCUUUCCUACAAUCCAAUAUCCUCUCAGACUGCUGCGAGCGAACCCCACCCUUGAAUUAGCAUGGCUAGCAAGCACCCUUCAUCUUCCCUACGGUCAGAACAGCCGCUUCUCGCUGGGUCACAAAGAUGUCUCUGCCGUCACGUGAAAAGCAGCCGCAGACCCAGCACAGCAGCUGCUUAGCAGUCCCACGACAGACACAGAAACUACACCUCCCAUUGGUGUUUGGGAAACGUCAGUGGGCAGAAGGGAGCACGAGUGCUCUGAGGGUGAAGGAGAAACGGAAUGAAAAGAUUGAAAAGCAGAUUGAGGCGGAUUGCCCUGGCUGGAGACUCUUCUUUUGGGGGCAAUCUAUGAUUAGUGUUGUACAGCUUCCCAUAGGAAAUGGCUAGAGCCCUGUGGCUUAGCUCGGCAGAACCUCCCCCAUCCGCCCCCGGCAGAGGAAUGAGCUGGAUGGCGGGAUAGUCCCCCACAUCUAGUUUCUCAGAUUGGAUGACUGAACAGCACCAUCUAGUUACAGGCCUAGGAAAGGCCACCUGCACAGACACCCAAUCAAGUCCAGAGUGUGCUGCUGGCAGCCUGUCCCAUUGCUCAGCCCUUCCGUUCUCUUCAGUGGUGGCAAACCUGCAGACCUUGGGCCGCACGCUGCU